rnacentral:rRNA from 1 species
GAUGAACGCUGGCGGCGUGCCUAAUACAUGCAAGUCGAGCGAAUGGAUUAAGAGCUUGCUCUUAUGAAGUUAGCGGCGGACGGGUGAGUAACACGUGGGUAACCUGCCCAUAAGACUGGGAUAACUCCGGGAAACCGGGGCUAAUACCGGAUAACAUUUUGAACCGAAUGGUUCGAAAUUGAAAGGCGGCUUCGGCUGUCACUUAUGGAUGGACCCGCGUCGCAUUAGCUAGUUGGUGAGGUAACGGCUCACCCAGGCAACGAUGCGUAGCCGACCUGGGAGGGUGAUCGGCCACACUGGGACUGAGACACGGCCCAGACUCCUACGGGAGGCAGCAGUAGGGAAUCUUCCGCAAUGGACGAAAGUCUGACGGAGCAACGCCGCGUGAGUGAUGAAGGCUUUCGGGUCGUAAAACUCUGUUGUUAGGGAAGAACAAGUGCUAGUUGAAUAAGCUGGCACCUUGACGGUACCUAACCAGAAAGCCACGGCUAACUACGUGCCAGCCGCCGCAGUAA